rnacentral:lncRNA from 1 species
GAUGAAGAUUCCUCCAUGAACCAUUACAUUGGCCACAGAGAUGGGUCCAUGACAAAAUUUGUGUCAACACUUGUCAAUCCUAGGGGUUUUCUUUUGAGUUCUCAGGGGAGUAGACUCCCUGUGUAUCACUGACCAUGAAGCUGAACACAUGCAGUCCCAGGAGCUGCUGGCAGCCACGUGCCCACCAACAAUCAAGAGCUAAGAAUUGGGCAACAUCAUGGAAGGAAGACUGUGGGGAAAAAGAAACUGAGUCCCUGCUGAGGCUUGUUGCUUACCUGAGGCCAACCAUGCCCUUGAACUCUUCUCUUUUGUGAAGAGAUACAUUCUCUUUACUUUUAAAAAUUCAUUUUAUUGAAUCUUCUCUUCCUUGCAACCUGUAAAUAUAUUCAUA